rnacentral:rRNA from 1 species
GAUGAACGCUGGCGGCGUGCUUAACACAUGCAAGUCGAACGGUGAAGGCGGAGCUUGCUCUGCUGGAUCAGUGGCGAACGGGUGAGUAACACGUGAGCAUUCUGCCCCUGACUCUGGGAUAAGCGCUGGAAACGGCGUCUAAUACUGGAUACGAGCUGCGAAGGCAUCUUCAGCAGCUGGAAAGAAUUUCGGUCAGGGAUGAGCUCGCGGCCUAUCAGCUUGUUGGUGAGGUAAUGGCUCACCAAGGCGUCGACGGGUAGCCGGCCUGAGAGGGUGACCGGCCACACUGGGACUGAGACACGGCCCAGACUCCUACGGGAGGCAGCAGUGGGGAAUAUUGCACAAUGGGCGAAAGCCUGAUGCAGCAACGCCGCGUGAGGGACGACGGCCUUCGGGUUGUAAACCUCUUUUAGCAGGGAAGAAGCGAAAGUGACGGUACCUGCAGAAAAAGCGCCGGCUAACUACGUG